GACAGAGGGUGCAAACGUUGUUCGGAAUUACUGGGCGUAAAGCGUGUGUAGGCGGCUUUGUAAGUCGGAUGUGAAAGCCCCGGGCUCAACCCGGGAAGUGCACUCGAUACUGCGAAGCUUGAGUACUGGAGAGGUUGGUGGAAUUCUCGGUGUAGAGGUGAAAUUCGUAGAUAUCGAGAGGAACACCGGUGGCGAAGGCGGCCAACUGGACAGAUACUGACGCUGAGACACGAAAGCGUGGGGGAGCAAACAGG
rnacentral:rRNA from 1 species